CCUACGGGUGGCAGCAGUGAGGAAUAUUGGUCAAUGGCCGGAAGGCUGAACCAGCCAAGCCGCGUGAAGGACGAAGGUGCCACGCAUUGUAAACUUCUUUUGUCAAGGGACAAAAUCCGGCUCGAGAGCCUUACCGAGGGUACUUGACGAAAAAGCAUCGGCGAACUCCGUGCCAGCAGCCGCGGUAACACGGAGGAUGCAGGCGUUAUCCGGAUUUAUGGGGUUAAACGGGUGCGUAGGCGGACUGUUAAGUUAGCGGUAAAAGCCCGGGGCGCAACCCAGGCGAGCCGUUGAAACUGGCUGUCUAGAGUAGGCGAGAGGUAGGCGGAAUGCGCGGUGUAGCGGUGAAAUGCUUAGAGAUUGCGCAGAACUCUGAUUGCGAAGGCGACAUACCGGAAGAGAUCUGACGCUGAGGCACGAAAGCGUGGGUAUCGAACAGGAUUAGAUACCCGAGUAGUC
rnacentral:rRNA from 1 species